rnacentral:rRNA from 1 species
CUAGCCGUAAACGAUGGGUACUAGGUGUGGGUGGUUUCGAUACCAUCCGUGCCGUAGUUAACGCAUUAAGUACCCCGCCUGGGGAGUACGUGCGCAAGCAUGAAACUCAAAGGAAUUGACGGGGGCCCGCACAAGCGGUGGAGCAUGUGGUUUAAUUCGAAGCAACGCGAAGAACCUUACCAGGGCUUGACAGGAAACUUAAGACCCUAGAGAUAGGGGGAUAAUAAGUGAAACAGGUGG